rnacentral:misc_RNA from 1 species
AAUUGGAAGUAAAAGUCGUAACAAGGUUUCCGUAGGUGAACCUGCGGAAGGAUCAUUACCACACCUAAAAAACUUUCCACGUGAACCGUAUCAACCCUUUUAGUUGGGGGUCUUGUACCCUAUCAUGGCGAAUGUUUGGACUUCGGUCCGGGCGAGUAGCUUUUUGUUUUAAACCCAUUUCACAAUUCUGAUUAUACUGUGGGGACGAAAGUCUCUGCUUUUAACUAGAUAGCAACUUUCAGCAGUGGAUGUCUAGGCUCGCACAUCGAUGAAGAACGCUGCGAACUGCGAUACGUAAUGCGAAUUGCAGGAUUCAGUGAGUCAUCGAAAUUUUGAACGCAUAUUGCACUUCCGGGUUAGUCCUGGGAGUAUGCCUGUAUCAGUGUCCGUACAUCAAACUUGGCUUUCUUCCUUCCGUGUAGUCGGUGGAGGAUGUGCCAGAUGUGAAGUGUCUUGCGUGUUGUCCUUCGGGUCGACUGCGAGUCCUUUUAAAUGUACUGAACUGUACUUCUCUUUGCUCGAAAAGCGUGGUGUUGCUGGUUGUGGAGGCUGCCUGCGUGGCCAGUCGGCGACCGGUUUGUCUGCUGCGGCGUUUWAAGGAGGAGUGUUCGAUUCGCGGUAUGGUUGGCUUCGGCUGAACAGGCGCUUAUUGAAUGCUUUUCCUGCUGUGGCGUGAUGGGCUGGUGAACCGUAGCUGUGUUUGGCUUGGCUUUUGAAUCGGYUUUGCUGUUGCGAAGUAGAGUGGCGGCUUCGGCUGUCGAGGGUCGAUCCAUUUUGGGAAUUUUGUGUGCACUUCGGUGCGCAUCUCAAUUGGACCUGAUAUCAGGCAAGAUUACCCGCUGAACUUAAGCAUAUCAAUAAGCGGAGGAACC